rnacentral:rRNA from 1 species
CCUAACACAUGCAAGUCGAACGGUAACAGGAAGAAGCUUGCUUCUUUGCUGACGAGUGGCGGACGGGUGAGUAAUGUCUGGGAAACUGCCUGAUGGAGGGGGAUAACUACUGGAAACGGUAGCUAAUACCGCAUAACGUCGCAAAACCAAAGAGGGGGACCUUCGGGCCUCUUGCCAUCGGAUGUGCCCAGAUGGGAUUAGCUAGUAGGUGGGGUAACGGCUCACCUAGGCGACGAUCCCUAGCUGGUCUGAGAGGAUGACCAGCCACACUGGAACUGAGACACGGUCCAGACUCCUACGGGAGGCAGCAGUGGGGAAUAUUGCACAAUGGGCGCAAGCCUGAUGCAGCCAUGCCGCGUGUAUGAAGAAGGCCUUCGGGUUGUAAAGA